rnacentral:lncRNA from 1 species
ACAGAGACUGUGAAAAGAAUUAUUUAUGAAUCCUAUUUAAAACACUUUGGUGAAGAAAAAUAUUUUGUUUGAAGAGGGUGAUUUUAAACUAAGUGAACUAAAUAAAUAAAUCUCAAAUGCUUGAUUUCAAAAUACGAUUUAAUCAAGAUGGCAUAAUUGUGUUAGAUUAAUUACAUUUCUUAACUUAGAAUUAUUAAACUCAUGUUUAUAUUGUUACGAAUAAGUUCAAGGCAACUCGGUAAUUUGCUAACUUAUGAACAUACUCAC